GGAAAAUAUUUUGACAUAAGGGCGAAAGCCUGAUCCAGCAAUGCCGCGUGAGUGAUGAAGGCCUUAGGGUUGUAAAGCUCUUUUACCCGGGAUGAUAAUGACAGUACCGGGAGAAUAAGCCCCGGCUAACUCCGUGCCAGCAGCCGCGGUAAUUAAA
rnacentral:rRNA from 1 species